rnacentral:rRNA from 1 species
CCUACGGGCGGCAGCAGUGGGGAAUAUUGCACAAUGGGGGAAACCCUGAUGCAGCGACGCCGCGUGAGUGAAGAAGUAAUUCGUUAUGUAACGCUCUAUCAGCAGGGAAGAAAAUGACGGUACCUGCGUAAGAAGCCCCGGCUAACUACGUGCCAGCAGCCGUGGUAAUACGUAGGGUGCAAGCGGUAUCAGGAUUGACUGGGGGUAAAGGGAGCGUAGACGGCAGUGCAAGACUGGAGUGAAAGGCGGGGGCUCAACCCCCGUACUGCUCUGGAAACGGUACGGCUGGAGUGCAGGAGAGGUAAGUGGAAUUCCUAGUGUAGCGGUGAAAUGCGUAGAUAUUAGGAGGAACACCAGUGGCGAAGGCGGCUUACUGGACUGUAACUGACGUUGAGGCUCGAAAGCGUGGGGAGCAAACAGGAUUAGAUACCCUGGUAGUC